ACAACAUCCACCGUAUAUCACAUUAGGGUGAAGAACACGAUGCCUUGCCCACUUAAAAAAUUCACCAUUGCAUUUUUGGGUAUGUUGGAGUUACACAACGAAAUGCAACUGAAAAGAAGUACUGGGCAGAGCCCAAGACGGCACAUCGAGCCAUGAACAAAUUGGUGUUCUCUCUUCUUUGCUGGUACGUAGCAUGAGCCAGGCUGCUGUGCUUGGAUGGAAGCAGCACUCAUCUCAUCUGUUACAUUGCACUAAAGGACAAGCAAAAAACCGAAGGAGAGGGAGGUUACUGGAAGUGUGGGACACAGAAUUACGGAACCUCAGGUGUUGGAAAGGACCUCUGGAGAUCAUCCAGUCUAACCCCCUGCUUCAGCAGGUUCCCUACAGCAGAUCACACAGCUAGGCAUCCAGGUAGUGAAUCAACAACCUUUCUCAAAGAGGAAAAAAGAAAACUAGCAUGUAUGGCUAGAAAGUGGCUAGAUGGUGUCACAGAACUCAAGAAUGAGAAAGUUCUGAGAAUACAACCUCACACUGCACCUCCUGGUGAAGAAUGAGACCAUCUUGUUUGAAGAAUGUGGGUCAGGCAAAUUGAUAUUCUACACUUUCUUCUGUGAUAAGGACCUCACAGAGAAGCAGUGACACAGUCCAUGUGCAGUGUCUUUAAUGAUUCACCAUGUGCUUGUGUAGGGACAUCAGAAAACUAAAAGAAUUGUUAUCAGGACUAGUUACUUCUUGAUUUAUCUGGAUAUAUCUACACUUAUAUUGAAAAAGGUUUUGCAUGCAACUAUUACAAUGAAAAAAAAUAAUUUCCUAAUUCAUACGUUAUUUUUCUUUCCAAGAUUGCCAUAAUAUCACGCAUACAUGUGUAUUUCAUCUAUAAAUGUGCUGAAAGAGAUUCCCAACUCUUCUAACAGUUAGACCACUACAUUAGAUUUCAUUGUCUGUGAUACUGUCAGAAACUACUUGAGACAUACAGUAAGACAAUACAAAAUCUUUCAGUCUUCAAUAGUUUCUUCAUGUUUAUUCCUUCUACUCUCCCGUUAGUCAGUCUUUGGGCACA
ensembl:lncRNA